rnacentral:tRNA from 1 species
GGUGGCUAAGUGGUAGAGUGCUUGCCUUGCAUGCAUGAGGCCCUAGGUUCGAAUCCUCAGCACCA